AACACUGGGAAUCAAUGCAUAUGUUUUUCAUGAUGAAAAGGAAAGAUACAGCAUCAACAAUUAAACAUAUAUGCUUUGUUAUCUUGUCUUUACUAUUAUUUCCAAUUUUAUCAGUCGCUGUUGCCUGGUUUUCAUGGCCACAUUUAAUUGGAACGGAGGUUAUCUAUAUUAUGGCAGGCAUAGGAUACAGGCCGAAAUUUUUUGAGAAAUAUUUCAGAGUUGUGGAAAAGGUUGAACUGCAUGGAAACCCUAUAAUAGACACUUUCCCUACAGAUCACAAAGACAUAAAAAUGACUUUACCCGCGCAUGUGGAAGCAAUGAAGGAAAAUGGAAUCAUUUCAGAAAACGCUUCUGACGGUGAGGUUUUUGCAAGCAUUGCAACAUUAAAGUUGCCAUCCAUGUAUCUUAGGCGAGCUGUGAGGGAAUCAAAUGUAAAAAAGAGGAACACGCACAAAAAUGCUGUCAAUGAGUUGCCUGUGACUGCACAAGUUAAUGACGAAUGCAAACAUUUGGACGUUUUGCUAGCCGCAAGAAAAAGGCUUUAUUGGAAAAUGCAAUAAAAGUAAAUAGAUCUAGAAUCAUUGCAGAGUAUGGUUUAGCACUUCAAUAACAGUUUUUGUGUGAAUUGUCUCGAUAUGUCUUAGUGCCUCGCAGACAUGCGUAUUAAAUUUAAUUUUUCGCUCAUUAUUCUUUUAAUUGUUCUUAUUUGACAAGAUUUUGGCAACAAAUAUACGACCCCUUAAAAAGGAGUAAUAUAGAUUUUUUUUUUAAACUACAACACCUAAUAUUUGGAUACAAAAUCACAGACAACAAGUAUUACUCAAUAAUUUUUUUAAUUACAGUACUUAGUUUUUCAAUAUAUAAGUCAUACAAUGUAUCUGAGCAGAAAACAAAAAACAUAGACGUCUACAGAAAUUUUGUGAAUGAAUAUACUAAGAGAGUUGGCACCAAUAUUAAUGGACAUAAGAUAAUAAGUCCAAUGUUACUAACAAUUAAAAAAAAAACAUAAUCAAUGAAUAAUUUUCUAGUAUUGUUAUUCUAGUGUAAUCUAAACAAAAUGUAUGUCAAUUAAUCUAAUCAGCUGAUUAUUCCCUGGGUAGUCAGUGGAGUGUAACAGGGUACGUCAAGAGAAGCUUGGAAUCUUGAUGGUUUAUGCGACAGGCAAUAUUUGAUGAGUAAAAUUAUAAUGUUGUUAAAAAAAUUAAUUAUUCGGUCCUUGUCAUGUUUUGAAUAAAUUAUUUUAAAUGCUAUACCAAUGAAAAGUUUUAAGUGUUUUUCCGCUUUGGUAAAUUUAAACCUAGCUUGAAAUACAUUGAUCUGAUAAACUUUAUGAAUACUAUGAUCAUUGUUUAUCAUAAAAGUAAUCGUAAUUUGUGCUUUAGAAUAUAUGUAAAUGAUACUCGUUGUAUGUACAUACUAACUGAAGAUAAGCUUUACUAUUUGGAUGCAAAUGGGAAUGUGGUAGUCAGUCUAUAACUUUUAAUUUUUUGUUGGAUGCUUUGAUUAAUAUUGUGUGUUAAAGAUUUGUAUAACCUGUAAUAUUAUGUUCUCUUGUAUGUGCUUCUAUCCGCCUGAUACUAGAGGCGAAUAACGAGGCGGGGGGAACAAGUCGAACCAUAAACAUUGACUGGUUGCACCCCCUCCCACCUAUUCUCAAGAUUCUGGAUCCGUAUCUGGAUAUCUGUCCGUCCGUUCGUCCGUCCCGUGUCCUGUUUAAGUUUUUGGUCAAGGUAAUUUUUCCAAGUAAAUGAGAUUACAUCAAUAUGAAACUUAGUGUUCAUGUUUAUUUGGAUGUAAUCUUUGUAAAUGUAAUGCCAAAUAACAGAUUAGAUCCCGAUUUCAGGAUUUCUUAUCAGAGAAAUGUGAUAGUUUGGAACAAGUACAUUAUCAGGUUAAAGAUUUUAAUUAACAUAGUUUACCAUCAAUGACACUAUCCUUUUGACACAUAUCUCUGUUUUAUAAGUUUUAGUUAAAUAAGUACAUUUCGAAUCAUUAUAGAUUAUAAAGUAUUGUUUGCUUUUCUGUUAAAAAUCAAAUAACAUGCGUUCAUUUUUUACUAAUUUGUUUUAUAUUGUUUUAUAGAUAUAACAAAUGUAUUUUGAGAUAGUGAAGACGUUUCACAUAAUUGGUGUCGUGAUUUCAUACUGGACAUAUAUAUUUAAUAUUCUUGAAUAGUCCCAUUACAACAUCAUCAUUUCUUAUCAGAUUAUUUAGCUUAUAUGUUUAAUUAUAGUCUUUAUACAUUGCAUAGAAAUGAACAAAUAACAUGUGUGUCAUUCUUCCGGGAAAUGAAAGUUUGUAAGUUUUGUGAACGUAUUUUGAAACAUGAUCGUUGUCCGGUAUUAAGAUAAACCGUGAUGUUUUGAAAAGACUCUUUUAGUGUAAAGCUAUAUAUUAAGAUUGAAUAAAUCACUUUAGACUUC